AACGAACGCUGGCGGCAUGCCUAACACAUGCCAGUCGAACGAGACCUUCGGGUCUAGUGGCGCACGGGUGCGUAACGCGUGGGAACCUGCCCUUAGGUUCGGAAUAACUCCCCGAAAGGGGUGCUAAUACCGGAUAAUGUCUUCGGACCAAAGAUUUAUCGCCUUUGGAUGGGCCCGCGUUGGAUUAGCUAGUUGGUAGGGUAAAAGCCUACCAAGGCGACGAUCCAUAGCUGGUCUGAGAGGAUGAUCAGCCACACUGGGACUGAGACACGGCCCAGACUCCUACGGGAGGCAGCAGUGGGGAAUAUUGGACAAUGGGCGAAAGCCUGAUCCAGCAAGGCCGCGUGAGUGAUGAAGGCCUUAGGGUUGUAAAGCUCUUUUACCCGGGAUGAUAAUGACAGUACCGGGAGAAUAAGCUCCGGCUAACUCCGUG
rnacentral:rRNA from 1 species